UCGUAUUUGAGUUUAAAAAAUAUAAAAAAUGAUACUAAAGGAUGUAACGCCCCGAGAGCCUAUCUCGAGACAUCACAUAGUGCUCAAGGCCACACGUGGCCUCAAGCUAACCCUCUAAGCCUGUCAUUACCUUCAGAACUCUCUACGAUAUGAAUCAUCAUAAAGUUGGGAAGAAUAAUCAUGACAUAAACAUACUGAGAUACGAAGUAAUACAGUUUUGUACAAAAAAAAUACUGAAAUCUUUGUACAUGCUGACACACUAGUCUGACAAAGCCUCUACUUCAUAGGAUUGAGGAGCCAUUGGGACAGAUCCCCAACUGAUUCGUACUGAACUGAAAGUAAGCAACCAUCUAUUAAAAAGACAAAAUCGAAGACACAGGUCCACGAACCAUAAGGAUUCACCAACAGCAGAACUGUCGCUGCUGAGACUGAGCACCUGAACCUAUAUCAUAAGGAAAUAUAGAGUGCAAAAGAGUAUGGGAGUCAAUACUUGGGAAUGUACUGAGUAUGUGGGGGUGGAUGCAAUAUUUUAAAUAAUAUCAUAAAUGUAUAAGAAAAUCAUGCAUGCUGAUAAUAACAACUCUCUUCGCUUGAAUUAUAUAAAUCAUCAUUUCCGAAAGUCAUCAGUAAUAACAUAUGCUUCAUAAAUCUCGUAAUUCAUUUAACUCAACUCAAACUCUUUGACUCAUGACUUAGAGUGACUCGGUAACUCAUGGUACUUAGAUCAUUAUGGGCGUAGGAGAUUCUUAUAACCGACAUAGCUACAUCAUAUGAGCCGCAUGGAGUCCAACAUUUUGCCCUCCUAAGGAGAGAACCCCACAUUGGCAGGGGUGUCGUACUCUUGCCAAGGAGUACAACCUCAAUUUCUCAAUCACAAUCCCAUACUUGGCCUCUGGCCCACAAUCAUCAAUAUCAAUUCUACGGUGGCAUAUAGUUUUGGGGAAAUACCACAUUUUUCGCUCGGUGCUAAAUACUCCUCCCAGACUCAGCUCAGAACGCGUUAGGAAAUCCACCUUAAUAAAUAUCAACUCAUGGGUCUAUCAUAGAGACCAAAACAUAAAUAUAUCUCAUCUGUAAAUCAUGAACAACUGUGGAUUCCUAACUCGACUCAAAAUCAAAAUAAUCUUUCUCAACAUCAAGUACCUUUGCUUAUCAAAUCAUUUCAAAUAUCAAAAGCUUCAAGGAAACAUCAUAGGACUCAUUCGCGACUUUCAAUCUCAAAUAUCGAUAUAUAUUCAAUAGUGAAAUUUCUCAUGGAAAGGCAUAACUCAUGACACUUGUCUUAAAUCGCUUAGAAAUCAUCAAUACAUAAUGACAAUAUACAACUCAUGGAAUAAAUUCUCAAUUUAAGAAACAUGAUGGUGAAAUAAUCAUAAAUAUCAAACUUGUUCAACUCAAAUCUCAUAAAUCAUAAAUAAAGAAAUUUGGGUGUAAACCCACUUGCAAAAUCAUGUAAAUUAGUAAUAGAAAGUAAAUCUUUAGGCACAAGAACGAAGGGAGUGUUCUUGUUCAAACCCCACAUACCUUGGAUUAUAAUUUUGGAGAUGUAGAAACUUGAUAUUAAAUUUUUUAUAGCAUUAUUGAGCUAUAUUUCUUGAUGCCUUUAAUUAGGAAAGCUUGAUUCUUGGAUCACUUUGAAUCUCUCUGGAAGAUUCUUGAAUUUCUUGGAAGAAGAUUGAAUUUUUGGGUUUUGGAAGAAACCCUAAUUUCUAGAUGUUUCUUGAAAGAGGAAAGGAGAAAAUGAAGGGCUAUUCUCUACUAGGAUAUAUAUAUAAGACCUUAUGGGGCAGAAAUGACCAAAAUGCCCUUUUGAAAAAGCUAAAAUUCAUUGAUCGGGGCUUGUGACGAUCGAUAUGACGGUCUGUUAAGUCUCCUGAUGGUCAACCAGAUCAUCCAUCACUCAAGUGCCAAAACUGGAAUGUUCUAACUCGACGUGAUGGUCAAAGUAACGGUCUGUCAGGAAACUGAUGGACCACCAAGUCGUCCAUCACUCGAGAGCUAGAAACGAGACAUUCUGUCUCGACCUGACGGACCCUUUGAUGGUCCAUCAACUUUUUGACGGUCCAAAUACUUGGCCGUCACAUGAUGGCCUAAAUAAUAAAUCACUGCCUUGGCUUGACGGGGCACUUGAUGGUCCACCAGGGACCUGACGGUUCACCAGGUCGACCAUCAAAUCUGGGCGAUCCGAUACCAUUUAGUAAAACAGCUAUAACUCCCUCAUCCGAUGUCGGAUCUCAAUGAAAUUGGUAUCGAUGGAAAGAUUAUUCAAUACUCUACAUGAAAAAAAGUAGAAAUUAGAGAAAUACAAUAUGUUUUAAAAAUCAAUCACUAUGGAAGUCAUAUAUAUCCACCCAAAAGAUGAAUUUAGGCUUAGGAAAUGAUCGGGGUAUUACAAAGGAUAACAAAAUAAUUUAUGCAUUUUUCUAAAUUAUGAAUUUGACACGUCAAUAAUUUGUUUGAUGCAAGAAAAAAUGUGUGAGAAAUACUAACAUUUAAAAUUAAUAAUUUUGCUAAAAUAACAGCCUAAAAGGAGCAUCGGGUGGUCAAAAUUGGGUGUCAACAUCCUUAAGGGUGCACCAUGAGUUAUGGGAACUGAGCAUUCUGUAAAGCAUGAGUACAUGAGUCAUGAGCUGCAUGACCUAGGUUUGGAGUUAAUAACUUCAUGGAAUGUGAGAAUACUUCUGAGUGACUGGGAACUUCUUACACUAGGAACUGGGAGCGUACAUGAUUCUCUAUGUAGUGCAUGAACAUGAUUUAUGAUCAUGAAGCUGACGUGUAAGGUUUGAAUAGAUGUCGUGAUGACUGAAGUACAAAUUUUUUUACACUGAGGUAAGAAUGGGUCGGGCAUCUUCCUUCCCUAAUGUUGUUCUACAACACACCGAAAUCACUAUUAGAAUCUUAAUACUUGACUUAGUUUCUUGUUCUAUCAUCUUCACCUUGGAUUUAAGUUAUCAUUCUAAGUCUGUGGGCCUCUGUACUAAACUCUAAACUGAACUACGAUCACACUACUGUUGAGCUUAUGACAUAAUCAAUACAUACAAAUACUAAACUUUUCUUGAAAGACUAUACCUGAAAGUGUAAAACCCACUGCUAAUACUUCCUUUUGAGAUAGAACUCUUAACUUUCUAUAGCACCAACAGUCAUUAUAUAACAACUUAAGUACCUACUAACUUAGAAUCUUAGGGAGUACCACCAUACCCUGAGUUCACAUCAACUAGAAUUUCAAAACUCUUCUUUCUAUUAGCUCAAUCACCCAAGAUUCUAACAUCUAACAUGGAUAUCCACAGAACUUCCCAUACACUAAUACCCACUUAUUACAUUAAAGAGGAAUCAUGAAACAGUAACCAACAUAAAAUUUUAUGAACAUACUCAACCUUACAAGCUUUUCUAUCAUUAGGGUCACUUCCUAAUAUCUAUACCAACUAUAUCUAUAACAUACUCUAAGUCUCACUUAACAUGAGAAAUCUCUCUUAAAGUGGUAUUAAAUAAACUACAUAAUAUCUUUCUGGAUCCAUGAAUACAUAAUCUACUAAAAUCAAAUAAAUACUAUCCCACUUUACUAAUGUUAAACUUAUGGGUUUAUGCUUCUAACUUUAAGUCAUAUACUGUCAUAGGAUUCUAAAAAGGGAUCUGAGGGCAUAUCUGACUUUGGCUCAAUGCACAAUUUUCAUAAAUAAGAAUGAUCACUUUUAAAGUCUAGAAAUUAAGAGCACUGAUGGGAUCCUUUUAAUCCUGAAUGCAAUCUCAUAACUAUCUGUGGGGUAUGAGAAAACUCUAUCUAUAUGAAUUUAAGCUUGACUAUUUCUGUUACCUAAAAAAAAAGGUAGAGUUGACAUAAACGGAUUAACGUAAGAAUCUGCACAAGUUUCUUAGAGAACAUCUCUACUACACGAUCUGAGAUACGAAAAAAAAAAUUUCUUAAGUUCCUUGUGGCCUCUUGAAGAAAAGUAUAGAUAUAUCCAUACCAUUCCUCAAGAAUCUACUAGAUACGACUUCAUAGAUACCCUAGGACACUUGAACAUUAUGCUCUCAUACCAAGUUUGUCAUGAUCGAGACUAUCCCUUACUCGUAAUAUGGUGCUUAGAACCACAAGUGAUCCCAAGCUAAUUCAUGUAUUGGCAUAUUAUUGAGAAAUUGAUUUAAAAUGUGUAUACAAGCUAAAUUUGCUGAGCGGAAGCAUAAUCAUGAUAAAAAUCUGAAUGAAUGAAUUACUGAUCAAGUUUACAACAUGAUAAAAUUGAAAAAAAAACUUGAAAUUUCAUGAAUAACUCUGACUGACUAUCUUUGAAUCCUCUACUAUAAUGAUAAUAAGCUGUUGGGACAUGCCUCCAGCUACUACUAACCAAUACAUAUGGAUAAUCAAAAUACAACAUAUGAACUGCAAUGGACUAAAGUCCCCAAAAUAAGAGAACUCAUCACCUGCUGGUUGAAUACUGAGAACUGUCCGACCCUAGUGUGUGGAUUACAUCUGGUACCUAUAUUAUAAAAAAAUAUAGCCAUAUAUGAUCAGUAAUUUGGAAUGUAUUAAGUAUAUGGGGACAUGCACUAAUCAUGAAAAUAUUUAAAAUAUGCUUUAAAACUGAGGAUAUAAGUUAUUUUUUGAAACAUACAUUUAAAAUAUAGCUAUAUGUGGAAACUGUAAGUCAUAGUAAGAUUUAUAAAUGUAAUACCCCACGAUUUUCCUAGCUUAAAUUCAUCCCUAGAGUGUUAAGGGAUAGCUUCCAAAACAAAUACCAUUUAUUGGUGUGGAAUUCCUUAUAUUUGGACUUUCCCUUGAGUAGAAAAUUGAAUUAGCUUUCCUUAUAUUCAGGCUUAACAUGGAUUAAACGCUAUAGUUUUGGGAUUAAAAGAGUGGAGAAAAACCAAAAAACCCUUAGAAACCUUUUGGAAAUUGUUUGGAAGCCGUCCCGAUGACUUAGGUAACGACUCGUAAGGUCAGGCGACGAGUUGUGACUUGGUCAUCAUCAAAAACCCUAUUUCAGCCUCUAUCACCUUGUUUAUGACUCCUUCCCCAGGACCAGUAAGGAGACAUUAUGAGUCGUAAUCUGGGCAGCUUUGAUAAUGCUUCAGUAUUUUGGCCAUAACUUUUCACCAUGAUAUUGGAUUAAUCCGAAAUUUCUAUAAUUAGAAAGGUAAUUCAAUUAUAUGUAUGUUGGUGGGUCUUGCACUCAAAAAUUCUUUGUAUAAAGUUAUGCUCAUUUGAAAUUGACUAUAGUUAUAUACAUUCCAAGAAUUUAAUCGUUUAGGAAUGUUUUGGCUUGUUUAUAAGCUAAAAGAUAUUUGGGGUCUUAAAAUAUGUCUAAGUCAAUUGUAAAACAACCAAAAAUAUGAGGCUUAAUUCUUGGAUCCUUUACUGGUCAGGCUACGAGUCUUCAUAACAACUCAUAAUAUCUAGAUACGAGUCAUAUGCUGGACUCGUAACCACUGAGAUGGAUUAUUGGAUGAGCACUGUUGUGACUACAAUUACUCAUAAUGACUCGUAAGUUCUAAUUACAAGUCAUCACAUGAGUCGUAACUGUUGCUGCUGAUUGACACUUAAAGGAAAAAUUGUAUAACUUCUUGCCAUGAUAUCAAAUAGAGGCAAGACUUAUGGCGUUGAAAAAAUAACUUCAUGGGCUAUAUUUUGAGAGAUUUAGAACAUAAAACUUGGGGUUUUAUAAAAUUUUAAAGUUUCAUUCUUUUUUUGGAGAUUCUGGAAGGGUAGACUACCAAUUGGUGAAAUGCUAGUGAAGAUGAUAGUAGCGGCUAACAUGGAAUGUUGUUGUUGUGCAAAUAACUAUCAGGAAAUUUUUAAUCACUUAUUUGUAAGUUGUACUGGCUUUUAUAAUUUGUGGACUAUUUUUUCAAGAGAUGCAAGGAUUUAGGGACCUUUUCUUCAUAUAAGUCAUAUCCUAAAUAUAUGGUGGUAUGCAGAUGUGGGGGCUAAAGGCUAAACUAAAGCCUUUAUAUAGUGCAGUGCCAAUAUUUAUCCUUUGGUAGAUACAGAAGAGAAGAAAUAUAAUUAGGCAUGGUGGUAGAAUGUCAUAUCAUGCUAUGACUAGGAACUUCCGCCUAAAGAUAAAUCAUUAAUUCAAUUAGAGAUAAUUAACAUGCCAACGUUGGGGGUUAAAAAGUGUCAGAAUAAAGCUUUCAAAGUUCAGGUGAUAAAUCAGAGACAUUCAAUAAUUCAACAAACCAGCUACAAAAUUAAUUGCAUCACAAAGUGUUGGGACAACAUAAUUUAUCUAACAAAGAACUUAAAUUGAGUAAUCUAUUUCUGAAACUGAGAAGUGCUUAAGAUCAAGUACCUGCUAGAUCUGAAUUCUUAUGCAGUGGUAUUAGCUCUUUGGAGCUCAGCUUGCAGAGACAAAAGGUUGGUUAGGUAAGCUCCUUCGAGUAACUUUAGUACUGAAAUUAGGAAAGAUAUCAAUCUUAUUGAGGUGGUAUAAUAUGGUAAACUGAUUUUAAGCUGAAGAAGUCUUUAUUGAGUCCAAAUUCAUGGCGUUUGUGAUAAUUUUAAGAGUCUAGGUAAAUUUCACUCGAGCUCAGUUUUGAUGGAACAUCACAUUACUUCAUUAAGUUGAUAUCGUAGGAGAUGAAGAUAUAUUGGACAUGUCCAUUGGACUUCACCGUUGAAGAUGCAUUUUCUCUCUCUAGUCUCUCUAGAUUUUUUCUAAUUGAUUUUUUAUUUCUUGUCCUUUGUUAUAUUAGAAGAUUAGAAGAUUGUUAUUAUUUUUGGACUUGGGUUACUAAUGGGCCCAAGUCUUUUACUUGUAUAUAUUUUCUGUUAUUGAAUAAAGGGUAUA
rnacentral:lncRNA from 1 species